rnacentral:misc_RNA from 1 species
GAAGAUAUUGUUUCAAAGGUUUGUCCUUGAUUCAUUUUGAACCUUUGAUUGAUUGUUCUUUAUUGGAUUAUUGAUAAUUUCAUGGAUUUCCUUUCUGGGUAUUCUGAAUUUGGUUGGUUUUUCUGAUAUUUUGUUAGCAAAGGUGCUUUUUGGUGGGGUUGACUGUAGAUUUUGAUGUGUUGUUUUAAGUUAGUUCACCAUGAGGGAUUUUUCUGAUUUUUUUUUUGGUAAAAAUCAAGAAUCAGGGAACGAAUUAUUUGAUCAGAGGAUGAGAUUUCUUGGAUUAAUCAAUGUAAUUACAAGACAUUUUUCAUCAGGAGUAUGGAUUGAUAGAUUUGAUGUUUGAAGUUGA